AGAGACUCGACUGAAGUGAUGGAGGCCUCUGCAUAGUACCCUGUGAGCAAGCGAGAUUAGACUAAACCCAAGCCUCCUGCAGGAUGAGGAAGAGAGCAGUUGUGUGGCUUGCACUUUGGUGGAUAUCUAAGAAGAGGAGAGGCAGACGUGCUGCAAUAUGUCAAGAAGAAACUACAGGACUUCUCAUUGUGGCUCAGCUGGUAAG